rnacentral:tRNA from 1 species
AGUCCUGAGGUGUUUAACACGUCAGAUUGCAAAUCUGAAGAAGCAGACUAACGUCUGCCGGGGCUU